UACGGAGGGUGUAAGCGUUAUCCGGAUUUACUGGGUUUAAAGCGUGCGCAGACGGUUGCGUAAGUCAGAUGUGAAAGCCCCGGGCUCAACCUGGGAAUUGCAUUUGAGACUGCGUAGCUAGGGUGCGGAAGAGGGAAGCGGAAUUUCCGGUGUAGCGGUGAAAUGCGUAGAUAUCGGAAGGAACACCAGUGGCGAAAGCGGCUUCCUGGUCCAGCACCGACGUUCAGGCACGAAAGCGUGGGGAGCAAACAGG
rnacentral:rRNA from 1 species